UAUAGUAGUUCGUUGAUUUCACAUUGAGUUGAGUUGAGUUGAAAAGAAAAGGAGAAAAUGGAGUGACGAUAUGGAGUGAAAAGCUAAGAAUAUUGAAUCUCGACCAGCCGAGUAGAAAUAUCUCAGUAGUCGGUCUCAGGUCUUAAUAAUAAUUUUUUUUUUUGCUAAGUCUUAUAAUUUCUGUUCGACUGGUAGAGAUUCAAUCUUUUUUGCAGAUCACUCUUAUCGUAUCAGGAGAAUGCCUUUAUGUAUGUCACUCACUUGAAAGAUAGUCGCUUUCUCUCUCAUUCCUCCUCACUCAACUCUCACGACACCACCACUACACCAAUAAUCUUCUUUCUUUCUUGUUAGCCACCACCACCACUAGCUAUAUGAGGCACCAUCACUCCUCACUCCGAGCAGCAAAGAGCUAUCUCCAUGUGGGUUGUGGUAUUUUAUUUCUAUGACUAUUGCUAUUUUAUUUUUAUGUUAUGAAUCUAAACUUAGCUUCAUAGUUCAUAUUUGCAUUUUUUUUCUUUCAAUUUUUUUUGGGUCUGAUUUAAUUUUUUUGUAAUUUCUAGUUUUUGAAAAAUCUUCUCAUCCAAACAUUGUUGUAAGUACGAACCUCCGAUGUCUAAUCAACUGUUAAAAGCUUAUCAAUAUUCUAAUUGUAUAUUCGUUUUGGCUCCUUA